GUAGACGUUAGCUCAGUGGUUAGAGCACAGGCCUCUGGCUUUCGGGUCCGCGAGUUCGAGUCCCGUUGUCUACU
rnacentral:tRNA from 1 species